AUACGUAGGGUGCGAGCGUUGUCCGGAAUUACUGGGCGUAAAGAGCUCGUAGGUGGUUUGUCGCGUCGUCUGUGAAUUUCCGGGGCUUAACUCCGGGCGUGCAGGCGAUACGGGCAUAACUUGAGUCCUGUAGGGGAGACUGGAAUUCCUGGUGUAGCGGUGAAAUGCGCAGAUAUAAGGAGGAACAUCGGUGGCGAAGGCGGAUCUCAGGGCUGUAACUGACGCUGAGGAGCAAAAGCAUGGGUAGCGAACAGGAUUAGAUCCCCUGGUAGUCCAUGCCGUAAACGGUGGUCGCUAGGUGUAGGGGUCUUCCACGACUUCUGUGCCGUAGCUAACGCAUUAAGCGCCCCGCCUGGGGAGUACGGCCGCAAGGCUAAAACUCAAAUGAAUUGACGGGG
rnacentral:rRNA from 1 species